UUGCAACGGCUAAUCCGUUGCAAAUGAAAAUUCCAGAGAAAAAAAAAAUAAAACAUGGUUUGCAACGGAUUCGCCGUUGCAA
rnacentral:sRNA from 1 species